rnacentral:rRNA from 1 species
AUUGAACGCUGGCGGCAGGCCUAACACAUGCAAGUCGAGCGGAGCGGCGGACGGGUGAGUAAUGCCUAGGAAUCUUCCUGGUAGUGGGGGAUAACGUCCGGAAACGGGCGCUAAUACCGCAUACUAUCAGAUGAGCCUAGGUCGGAUUAGCGAGAUGGUGGGGUAAAGGACUACCAAGGCGACGAUCCGGAACUGGUCUGAGAGGAUGAUCAGUCACAAGGGCAAGGAGACACGGUCCAGACGCCUACGGGAGGCAGCAGUGGUGAAUAUUGGACAAUGGGCGCAAGCCUGAUGCAGCCAUGCCGCGUGUAUGAAGAAGGCCUUCGGGUUGUAAAGUACUUUAAGCUGGGAGGCGUUACCAGCAGAAGAAGCACCGGCUAACUCCGUGCCAGCAGCCGCGGUAAUAC